GCUCCGGUGGCCUAGUGACUAGAGCGUCCGCUUCAGAUGCGGGAGGUCGUGGAUUCAAUGCCCGUUGGAGUCA